rnacentral:rRNA from 1 species
AGUUCGGACUGUAGGCUGCAACUCGCCUACACGAAGUUGGAAUUGCUAGUAAUCGUGGAUCAGCAUGCCACGGUGAAUACGUUCCCGGGUCUUGUACACACCGCCCGCCACACCAUGGGAGCUGGUAACACCCGAAGUCAGUAGUCUAACCGCAAGGAGGACGCUGCCGAAGGUGGGAUUAGCGACUGGGGUGAAGUCGUAACAAGGUACC